rnacentral:rRNA from 1 species
UACGUAGGCAGCGAGCGUUGUUCGGAGUUACUGGGCGUAAAGAGUGCGUAGGCGGUUUUCUAAGUUUGGUGUGAAAUCUCCCGGCUUAACUGGGAGGGUGCGCCGAAGACUGGAAGGCUUGAGUAUGGGAGAGGUAAGCGGAAUUCCUGGUGUAGCGGUGAAAUGCGUAGAUAUCAGGAGGAACACCGGUGGCGAAAGCGGCGCACUGGACCACAACUGACGCUGAGGCGCGAAAGCUAGGGGAGCAAACAGG